GUCAAGUGCUCUAAUCGUUGGGCAUGAUGAGCAAGAACCACCAGAUGUGGAUGUGGAUCUGGGUAUGGUCAAUUCUGAAUCUCCUAUUAUGGCAGUAGCUAAUGACGCCCAUUUAACUCGCAUGGAACUUCCAUUCUAUUCAAUGGGUGGAAUAUCUUCUCCGAAGACUAAAGCUGUCAGGAUGGGUUCAGGGUUACCACUCACAGUCAUGAUUGAUAGUGGCGCAAGUCACAAUUUCAUCUCUGGUAAUGUUGUUUCUCAAUUAAAUUUGCCUAUUGAAGUUACCCCUAUUUUUGGUGUGCACUUAGGUGAUGACCACAGGGUUCAAUCCAAGGGGGGGCGUCGUGAUGUGAAAAUUGAUGCGGGAAAUUUGGAAGUCACAGCUGACUGUUACGUUUUUCCUUUAGGCCGUGUUGAUGAGAUUUUAGGUAUAGCACGGUUAGGAACACUGGGUGAAGUUCGAGUAAAUUGGACAACCAUGCAAAUGA
rnacentral:misc_RNA from 1 species